rnacentral:rRNA from 1 species
AGAGUUUGAUUCUGGCUCAGAACGAACGCUGGCGGCGUGGAUUAGGCAUGCAAGUCUAGCGCGAAAGUCCGCUUCGGUGGAUGAUUAGAGCGGCGAACUGGUGAGUAACAGGUGGGACAUGUGCCCGGUCGAGGGGGGUAACUUCCUGAAAGGGAGGCUAAUACCGCAUAUCUUCUUCGGAAGAAAGGUGCGCGCUUCGUGCGUGUGCCACGACUGGAUCAGCCCGCCCCUGAUUAGCUAGUUGGUAGGGUAAGAGCCUACCAAGGCGACGAUCAGUAGCUGGCCUGAGAGGGUGGUCAGCCACACUGGGACUGAGAUACGGCCCAGACUCCUACGGGGGGCAGCAGUCUAGAGGCUUCGGCAAUAGAGGAAACUCUGACCGAGCGACGCCGCGUGUGGGAUGAAGGUUCUCGGAUUGUAAACCACUUUUAAGAGAGAAGAAGGCAUGGAUGGCGACCCAUCCAUGAUUGACGGUAUCUCUUGAAUAAGCACCGGCUAACUCCGUGCCAGCAGCCGCGGUAAUACGGAGGGUGCUAGCGUUGUUCGGAUUCAUUGGGCGUAAAGGGCGUGUAGGCGGAUCAGUAAGUCGAUAGUGAAAGCUCCACGGCUCAACCGGGAAAUUGCUGUCGAAACUGCUAGUCUUGAGGGUAUCAGAGGUGAGUGGAAUUCCUGGUGUAACGGUGGAAUGUACAGAUAUCAGGAAGAACACCUGUGGCGAAGGCGACUCACUGGGAUACACCUGACGCUGAGGCGCGAAAGCUAGGGGAGCGAACGGGAUUAGAUACCCCGGUAGUCCUAGCUGUAAACGGUGUGCACUGGGUGUUGGAGGAUCGACCCCUUCAGUGCCGUAGCAAACGCAUUAAGUGCACCGCCUGGGAAGUACGGCCGCAAGGUUGAAACUCAAAGAAAUUGACGGGGGCCCGCACAAGCGGUGGAGCAUGUGGUUUAAUUCGAUGCAACGCGAGGAACCUUACCGGGGCUUGAACUGGUGGAAAGCAGGUGAAAACCUGUGUGUCUUCGGACGCGAUCCAGAGGUGUUGCAUGGCUGUCGUCAGCUCGUGUCGUGAGAUGUUGGGUUAAGUCCCGCAACGAGCGCAACCCCUGUCGUUAGUUACCAGCGAGUUAUGUCGGGGACUCUAACGAGACUGCUUAUGUAAGUAAGAGGAAGGUGGGGAUGACGUCAAGUCAUCAUGGCCCUUAUGUCCCGGGCUACACACGUGCUACAAUGGCCAGUACAAAGUGAAGCGAGACCGCGAGGUGGAGCAAAUCACAAAAAGCUGGCCCCAGUUCGGAUUGCAGUCUGCAACUCGACUGCAUGAAGUCGGAAUCGCUAGUAAUCCCGUAUCAGCAACGACGGGGUGAAUACGUUCCCGGGCCUUGUACACACCGCCCGUCACACCACGAAAGUCGGUCUUUCCUGAAGCCGGUGCACCAACCUUAAGGAGUAAUCUUUGAGGAGGAAGCUGUCGACGGAGAGGCUGGUAAUUGGGGUGAAGUCGUAACAAGGUA